UCCUCUUUAAACAAUGACAAUUGCAGUAAAACAAAGCUACUGGAGGAUGCAAAAAAAUGGGAAAUACAAUACCUCAGCCCCUGACCUUCCUGAAGCUGAAGUUUGGAAGAGCCUUGCUGAUGGUGAUUCAGAUUCAUCCUGAAGGAUCUACUGCUGUUUGAUGGGAAUUCAUCCAAACACACUGUGUCACUUCACGAGGAGCAUAGGACAGCCUGGGACUCUUGUUUCUCCUCUUCUUUGAGGAUGAAGAGUUGGAAAUUUUAAAUGGACACACCACAAGCAGUAUAGUCAAGAGGAAGAUUAGGAGUUUUGGCAGCAAGAGGCUGGUCACCAUGAGAUACAGCGCAUUUGAGUGCCAGCUGGAGAACUGAAUGCAGUGAAGAAGGCCAGGAGCAGUGAGAUGCAUCAGCUGGGGAGCUGAGGCAAGCUGAGUAUCCUCCUGCCAUCCUCCACCAAUGUGCACCCACAGGCUGGAGAAGAGCUCCCAGGGCUGCGGGAGAGCCAGCAUCACUCUUUGUGCUGAUGCAGUGGGUGGUAAGUUUUGUGUGGUCCUUGGUCACCUUUGACCACGUGGAGUAUGAAUGUGACUGCAGAGUGCAGCUCCUGCCUGCAUUUAUAAGGCAUCUAAGGGCUGCUCACAAUUCAGGGAGGGAGCAAAUGCUGCCCAGCUCUGCAGACCAGAGUCGCUGUGUUGUUUAAUCUUCAUGGCUGGAGCUCAGGAGGUGUGCAGGUAGCUGGUGAACGUUUCUGUGUAUGUUAAAAUGCACCACGCAGCAGAGCAGUGCUUCAGCCUGAAGAACUCUCUGAGCAUCAGAGCAUCUCCUCAUUACAGCAUCCACCAGUAUCAGGCUGUAUCUGCUGGAAACACAGGGCCACAUCGACAGCAGUGACAUCUGUCAGCCUGGCUGUGCAGCUCCUGCUUGUGGGAAAGGGGCCUGGAGUACUGUGCUCAUAAAGGGUUGUCAGAGCAUCCUCUGUGCCUGGAUUGUGCUAGAAGUGCCAGCCCCCAACAGAUAAUACAACUGUAUUACCAGAUGAAUUCAGCCUCCUUGCUUUUGUCUUCAGGAUUUUCCUGUGAAUUCCAGUACUUCUUGUAAAUCCCAAGCCACUGGGGAAAAGCAAUUGUGCUCCAAUUUUGUAGUGCAGAGAACUGUUGUCACCUCACAGGUGUAUCUGUAUACCAGCAUGUAACUUCUGUCUCCUAAUAAAAGGGAAAUUUGCUUUA